CAUUCUUCUUCUUCUUUUCCGAGUAACCAGGAGAAAAGGGUGAUUUCUCUGAGAUAUAUAUAUAUUAGAUAGACAAUAUGGUAUUUAUAGCAUCUAUAUUUACAGUGAUAUAUACAUGAUAUUUUGAGGAGUUGGUGGCAAUGUACCAAUAGAUUGAGCGGUGGAUGUAAUGGUCAAGGAUUAUGGUUGUACAUACAAAUAUAAUGGCAGU
rnacentral:lncRNA from 1 species